rnacentral:rRNA from 1 species
CUGAUUAUACUGUGAGAACGAAAGUUCUUGCUUUUAACUAGAUAACAACUUUCAGCAGUGGAUGUCUAGGCUCGCACAUCGAUGAAGAACGCUGCGAACUGCGAUACGUAAUGCGAAUUGCAGAAUUCAGUGAGUCAUCGAAAUUUUGAACGCAUAUUGCACUUCCGGGUUAUGCCUGGAAGUAUGUCUGUAUCAGUGUCCGUAAAUCAACCUUGCCUUUCUUCCUUCUGUGUAGUCAGUGGAGGAUGUGGCAGACGUGAAGUGUCUCGCUGUGGCUGGUUUUUGGUCGUUUCGGCUAUGAAUACAGUUUGCGAGUCCUUUUAAAUGGACACGACUUUCUCUUUUUUGUUUCUGCGAGGUGCUGUGCUCGAACGCGGUGGUUUUCGGAUCGCUCGCGGCUGUUGGCGACUUCGGUGAAUGCAUUAUGGAGUGGACCUCGAUUCGCGGUAUGUUGGGCUUCGGCUGGACAAUGUUGCUUAUUGUGUGUUUGUUCCGCGUUCGCCUUGAGGUGUACUUUCUGCUGUGUGCUUGAACUGGGAUCUGCUUUGUUAGUAGUGCGCGGUGAUCGUUAUUCGCGGGGACAUCUGUUGUUGCGCACGCUGUUAGUGUGUGCUUGAGCAGAAGAGAGGUUUGAAUUUGGGAAAGUAGU